rnacentral:rRNA from 1 species
CCUACGGGUGGCAGCAGUCGGGAAUCUUUCGCAAUGGAGGAAACCCUGAUGCUGUGACGCCGCGUGCAGGAAGGAGGUUUUUCGGUUGUUAACCGCUUUAGAUAGGGAAGAAAAUUGACAGUACCUGUCGACUACGCUCAGGCUCACCACGUGCUAUCAGCCGCGGUACUACGUAGGGAGCAUGUGUUACCAGGUUUUAUUGGGUGGAACGGGUGCGUUGACGGAGCAGCAUGUUAGGUGUGAAAUCCCUGGGCUUAACUCGGGAACGGCAACUAACACUACUCUACUUGAGUACUGGAGAGGGAAGUGGAAUUCGUGGUGUAGCAGUGAAAUGCGUAGAUAUUGAGAGGAACACUAGUGGCGAAGGCGAGUUUCUGGACAGUAACUGACGUUGAGGCACGAAGGUGUGGGGAGCAAAAAGGAUUAGAUACCCGGGUAGUC